AGACAUUUCUUCAUCUUUCUCAGCCAGAAACGCCGUAGCAGGUCUCCUAUGCUGGUUUUUCAUAUUUUUGCACCAUUACUUAUCUAGUCACUCGGGAUCGAAGGAAAUGUCGGAGGCCGAUCACACUAUCAAAGAAAUAACUCGGUAUAACUAGGCGUUUUGUUUUGGGUAUGGCAUGUAUAGAAACUUAGCUACUUUUGGUAUAAUAUGAAUAAUGAAUGAUGUGUAAAUACUUGCUAGUGAUUAGCUAAGAAAAUAGCUGAUGAUAUACAUGUUUAUUAAUAUGUAUGAUUGAAUGAUGAUUAUCACAUGAAAAUUAUGAAAAAUGUGAAAGUAACCUAAAAACA